GAUUAACGCUGGCGGCGUGCCUAACACAUGCAAGUCGAACGAGGUAGCAAUACCUAGUGGCAGACGGGUGAGUAACGCGUGGUCAACCUACCCUAGAGUGGGGGAUAACUAGCCGAAAGGUUAGCUAAUACCGCAUGAAACGUGCCGGGGCAUCUCGGAAUGUUGAAAGGAGCAAUCCGCUCAAGGACGGGACCGCGUCCCAUUAGCUAGUUGGUGGGGUAACGGCCUACCAAGGCACCGAUGGGGAGCUGGUUUGAGAGAGCGGACCAGCCACACUGGGACUGAGAAACGGCCCAGACUCCUACGGGAGGCAGCAGUGAGGAAUUUUCCGCAAU
rnacentral:rRNA from 1 species